GCAGGGAGACAGUCGUUUUAAACAGUACACAAAGGUGAUGUCAUCACCUUCCAGAGUCCACCACCUAUCGACCGUCCAGCUCAGGACAUGGAACUCUGUCCAAACCGGAAUGUUCUGGUUGCUGUGGAAGCCCCUGUGGCUCCCUGUGCAGCUGCAUGGCCAUCUCAGAGUAAGCAGGUGGUUCUUCAUGGUUGAAGGUGUCGUCUGGGGCCUCAGAGAUGUCCCGGGUGUACAGAGGGGGGGCCAGAUUGAACCUCAGGCCGUCUUCAGAGAGCCCCAGCACAGAGUAAGCUGCAGUAGCAGAGAAGGCAGAGGUGUGGUUGUGCUGAGACUCCUCAUAUGAAGGAAGGUGGAAUCUGGGUCUGGAGAGAACAACAGACACAUUCCGGGUGUGUUGUUGAAAGGAAUGAGGCGUACAGUACAUUAUACAACAAAUAUCAUAUGUGAGUGAGAGAGCAGAGGCAUACCUGUCAACGGUGUAGACAUGGAGGUGUGCAGUGGUGUGGUGGCUGCUGCUCCUCUGCCUCUUCCUCUUCAUGCCAUGGCAGAUGGUCCAGAAGACCCCGGUGAGGAGGCAACACAAGCCAAAGGCAAUGAGGAUGUAGGCCAGGAUGUAACACAGGGAGCUGUUGUAGACAUUGUGGAGGGACAUCAGGUGGAAGGAGAGGUGAUGGAAACUGAAGGUUGGUUGGCAGGUUUAGUAGAUGGUAGGGUGCUAUCAGUACAUCUACAGAAGCAGAAUGGUGCAGAAGAAACCAAAUGUUUCCUGUCGUUCUACUACAGUAUGACUGCUAGGAGGAAGGUUCUGUUGUCACGUUUUCCCCUAUGGUGAUGCAGGUACAUUGUGGAUCCUUCUCUCUUUAUGCUGUCAGACAAAGGGGAAGGGGUGGAGACUUAAGGAGAUGACUGUGUAAAAUCAGGAUGACUCAGUUUACAGUCUGUUUACCGGGUAUUUAUGAGGUUACAUGGUAAAAGUGAUUAUGUCUGACUUAGUGAAUAGAGAAAUACCUAAUGAAACAGCACGGUAACAUAUUUAAGCAAUAUUUAUUCACGAAAAUAAAAAUAUUUAAAAAAAAAAUAUUGCUAAAUUACAGACUCAUGUAUUUGGAUGAAUAAUUAUUUUGCUGUCAAAUAUGGUAUUGUGUGAUUUCUUUCUAAAGAUAUAAAAAAAAGUUAUAUUGUCCAGAUACAAUUUUGUUCUUUUGGCUCUGUACUCCAGAACUUUGGAAUUUAAAUGAUACAAUGUCUAUGAGGGUAAAGUGCAGACUGUCAGCUUUAAUUUGAGGGUAUUUUCAUCCAUACCGAGUGAACCGUUUUGAAAAUACACCACUUCUUGUACAUACAGUUGAAGUCGGAAGUUUACAUACACCUGAGCCAAAUACAUUUAAACGCAG